GAAGGAAGGCAGAGGAAGAAACGUGAAGGAGAAAAAAGGAGAAAAAGAAAAAAAGAAAGAAAAAGAUUUAGCCGUCCGAUUCCAAUUCCGACUUGGGUGUACGUUGGAGGAGAUUUGGGUGAAGUUAGAAAAUCCAGAAAGUAUCGGUAGGAGGUACGCAUGGCACCUCCGGGACAGGGGACGUCUCGGGAGAUAGAAAGACGGGCUGAAUGAGUGAACUGCAUCUGAUGUAUUAUAUGUAAAUUCUAACUAGAAAAACCUCCCGUUUUGGGAGUAUGUUUUUGUAAAUAUUUAUAAACUUGUUUUUUUUUGGGAAUAAUAAAAUGCUUAUAUAAUUAAUUUUAGCCUUAACACUGUGUUGUGGGGCCCGAAGUAGGAGGUGACGACCUCAUGAUGCAGUGUGGCGGUAGCAUUUCCAGUAUGAGCCAACUGGGGGU